rnacentral:rRNA from 1 species
UACAGAGACCUCAAGCGUUAUCCGGAAUCAUUGGGCGUAAAGCGUACCGAUAGGUGGUUUUGAUAGUUUUGGGUAAAAGCCAGAAGCUCAACUUCUGCGUUUGCUCAAAAUACUUCAAGACUAGAGGGACAAAGAGGUUGCUGGAACAAACGGUGUAGUAGUGAAAUGCGUUGAUAUCGUUUGGAACACCGAAAGUGAAGGCAGGCAACUGGGUGUCACCUGACACUGCUAGGACGAAAGCGUGGGGAGCGAAUGGG